AUUAAAAUAAAAAUCAUAUCCGUCUUAUUGCACCAUUGAUUGGAUUUUUUUUCGCCCCAUUCGGUUUGGUUAACCGCGAUUUUCGAUUUUGGCAGUUCAAAUUGCCAUCCUUAGUCUAAUGUCUACCCUACCAAGUGCAUUGAAGUGGAUUAAGAAAGAGGCUAGAGGAACGACAUGACAAAGCACAAUUAAGCAGAUCACUCUUGCUAGCACUGAUUAUCACUUAUAGAUGGUGCGCAAUAGGAGGAUUUUUGAGGAUUUAAAACCUAAUGCUGAAAGCAUCAUUCGAAGGAUCAAAAUACACGUAUACAAAAUCAUGUUCUCCUUGUAUCCGUAUGUUUUGAUUCAAUUUGAGUCUUUGGCAUUAGAAAGUUGAUUUUUGUAUUGUUCAUCACUUUAUGUUAGUUGUUUAGUAGUCUUCCUGGGUAUGCCCGGUGCACUUCUUGUUUGAUUUCAUUUUUGCUUACUUAGGGAUGUCCGUUGUACUUGUAAUUGCUUAGACUUUUGUUUACCCGGGUAUGUCUGGUGCAUUUGU
rnacentral:lncRNA from 1 species